UACGAAGGGGGCUAGCGUUGUUCGGAAUCACUGGGCGUAAAGCGCACGUAGGCGGAUCUUUAAGUCAGAGGUGAAAUCCCAAGGCUCAACCUUGGAACUGCCUUUGAUACUGGGGAUCUUGAGUCCGGGAGAGGUGAGUGGAACUGCGAGUGUAGAGGUGAAAUUCGUAGAUAUUCGCAAGAACACCAGUGGCGAAGGCGGCUCACUGGCCCGAUACUGACGCUGAGGCACGAAAGCGUGGGGGAGCAAACAGG
rnacentral:rRNA from 1 species